ensembl:lncRNA
GUCUUGUCAAUUUGAGGAAGUGGGGUAUUCCCUAGCACGCGCAAGCAAGUGACGCGUCACCCGGAACCGCUGAUGGGAACUUUCAUUUUAAGCAUUCACAGACACUCAUCAGACUAGCUCAAGCGAUGUGCUGGAAAAGAGAAGUUUUUGUUCGUUUCAUAUCACUAUCAGUCUUUGUUGCACCUGUGUUCACUACGGUCACAGAGACGACACAAAACUACACCUGUGCCGAAGAACUGCACCAUGUACAAUCUGAAUAUGCAAUGAAGAGCCCAGACUGUGAUCAGUAUUGGUCUGCACAGGAUCAUUCUAUUGCAACAUUUCUGCAAUCCACCCCAGAGUGUCAUAGUCCAUGCAAAGAGGUGUUCGGUGGGAGAAUCGUUUUGACUGACUGCAUCAAUAUCUCCCUGGCUGUAAUAUGCACAAGAGAUUAUUUGACUGAAUACCGUGUACAUUUUUAUGGCGAAAGAGUCCCUCAACCACUGAUCAACCCUGUGAACAGAGGUCACACUGGUAUUUUCCUGCCCAUUACCUUGGUGGUCAUAGCCAUUGUGGUGUGUCUGCUGUGUGUUGCAUAUGCAUACAAAAAUAACAGAAGCAAUGUUCAAGCCACUGAUAUGGGAUAAAGCGAGUGUUCAACAGAUUUUUUUUAAUUCUGUAGGAUUUUUU